UACGUAGGGUGCGAGCGUUGUCCGGAAUUAUUGGGCGUAAAGAGCUUGUAGGUGGCUCGUUGCGUCGGGAGUGAAAACCUGCGGCUUAACCGCAGGCCUGCUUCCGAUACGGGCGAGCUAGAGUUCGGCAGGGGAGACUGGAAUUCCUGGUGUAGCGGUGGAAUGCGCAGAUAUCAGGAGGAACACCGGUGGCGAAGGCGGGUCUCUGGGCAGUAACUGACGCUGAGGCGCGACAGCGUGGGGAGCAAACAGG
rnacentral:rRNA from 1 species